UACGUAGGGUUCAGGCGUUAAUCGGAAUUACUGGGCGUAAAGCGCGCGUAGGCGGCUUUGUAAGUUAGAGGUGAAAGCCCGGGGCUCAACUCCGGAACUGCCUUUAAGACUGCAUCGCUUGAAUCCGGGAGAGGUGAGUGGAAUUCCGAGUGUAGAGGUGAAAUUCGUAGAUAUUCGGAAGAACACCAGUGGCGAAGGCGGCUCACUGGACCGGUAUUGACGCUGAGGUGCGAAAGCGUGGGGAGCAAACAGG
rnacentral:rRNA from 1 species